UGAUGUAGAGUACAGUAUAUACGUAUGCAUAUUAGAUGAAUAAUGUAGGGUAAGUAACAUUAUAUAAGGUAGCAUUGUUUAAAGUGGCUAGUGAUAUAUUUACAUCAUUUCCCAUCAAUUCCCAGGAAUCAGUAAAUUGUCUGGUAUUGAAUUUUCGCGCGGAGAGUGAAUCGAAGAGUACAAGGACAUGAUGACAACAACAAUGAGUAAUUCAGACAUGAACUGUAUAGCGCCAGGCUGUACGAAUUGGCUCCAAUUUAAAAUAAAAUAUCGGGUAGGUACCAUCGGCUGUCCAAGGACCUUUUGAACACGUGGCUCCAUGUCCUAAAGAAAGGAAGGACGUGCCAGCUCGACCUAGCAAGGUCUGCAGGCAGCACUUCGCUGAGAAGGACACGUUCGAUGCGGCAACCGAGAGUUUCAGAAUGUAAAGGAGUCCUAAAUCUACGUUGAAGCCCUCUAUUGGCCCCUCCAGCUUCAAUUUCGAGGGUUAUGGUGUACAGUAGGGGUUACCGACCGACCAUCAUCAACAUCGCUGACUUCGGAGUCAAGCCAAACGUCGGACUGAGGCGACGAUGAUUAUUGUCAUCCAUGAAAAGGUUUUCAACCUGGAGAUUGUGCAAGAGGAGGUACAUGCAAAUCCAUGUUAUUUCUAAGGCUAUUGUUUGUUUAUUUCAAGGCAAAAUCUGUCAUCCCUGAUGCCAUUUUCAGUAUACAAAAUUGACAAUAUACAGUAUAUGCAGUGACUCUUGAAUAUAACUAAAGCUUAAGAUGCCUUAAUAGUUUUACACUAACAGAAAAGAACAGUUAGUACAGCAUGCCAAACAAACCCCUGGUUGCCAGAUUGUUCCUGUGCUGCGGUGGAAAAGAGCUCCACCGGGACCAUAACUAAAGAACUCGAGGCCCAGCUAGAUUGCUCUCACCACCAUCAGUAUACAACCAAGUCCUGCCCCUGUUGGCCACAGAGCUGACAGAGAGUGAGAUGACUGAAGACCAGGAGUCGAUGUAUGAACCUGAGAGCUCAGACACACAAUCAUCACAGUGCGAGCCAAGAGAUGCAAUCGAAGAGUGUGUGCAAGAUCAGAAAUACAUAGUAUUUUGAUAGCAAGCUGAAGGAGUUGUUCAAUGUCUGCCAUGAGCCUGGAUGUCGAGCUGGUGUCAUCAGUUCAUCCCUGAAAAUAAAUGGGUUUUGCCAUCACCAUGGAGACAGUGUCAGUUUGCAAACCAACAGCGCAUCUACAUUGUGCGAGAGGUUAACCACAUGUGGACCCACCCCACGUAGGCCAUUCUGGCUACAAUUGGUGACAGUCCACUGAUCGUAUCUGGAGACGCGUGGUGUGAUUUCUCCAGGCCACUCUGCUUCCCACCUGAUCCUCCCCCAUGAGACUGUGCAUGUUACCAAGGUGAAGAAUAGUUACUGUUUGGAGACGGAAGGAUUAGAGAGAUGCCUGCAACACAUUGAGGCCCAUGGAUGCAGUAUUGAAACCUUGGCCACUGACAGGCAUCCAAGUGUGAGGGUGCACUUGAGGGGCUCAUAUCUGGCAUGAGUAUGACCUGUGGCACAUUGCCAAAGGUAUGAGGAAACAGCUGGUGGCCAUCGGGAAGCCAGAGGUACUGCCAUGGGUGAGGGCAUUAACUCACCACUUGUGGUACUGUGCCACCACUGCUGGUUGAAGUGUCCAGGUGCUAAAAGAAAAGUGGAUCACCACAGGUCACCUCAUCGCCAAUGAACACCAGUGGGUCACUGGGAGGCACACUGAACUGCUGUUAAUUGUCAUUUAGAGCAUUUAUUUGCAGAAAAUUACAACUGGCCAAAAUAACAAAGAAAUAUGCAGUGUUGUCAGACCUCGAAUAAUGCAAAGAAAGUAAGUUCAUAUGCAUUUUUAAACAACCCAAUACUAAUGUUUUAACUUAGGAUGAGAUCAGAAAUCAAUAUUUGGUGGAAUAACCCUGAUUUUUCAAUCACAACUUUCAUGUGCCUUGGCAUGCCCUCCACCAGUCUUUCACAUUGAUGUUGGAUGCUUUAUGCAACUCCUGGCACAAUUUCAAGCAGCUCAGAUUGUUUGAUGGCUUGUGACCAUCCAUCUUCCUCUUGAUCACAUUCCAGAGGUUUUCAAUGGGGUUCAGGUCUGGAGAUUGGGGUGGCCAUGACAGAGUCUUGAUCUGGUGGUCCUCUAUCCACACCUUGAUUGACCUGGCUGUGUGGCAUGGCGCAUUGUCCUGCUGGAAAACCCAAUCCUCAGAGUUGGGGAACAUUGUCAGAGCAGAAGGAAGCACGUUUUCUUCCAGGACAA